GAAGUGCGAACCAAGCGUGCGCGGCGGUCGCCGUGCUGUUAGACUUGGAGCGGAUAGUCGCAAGACUGUCCUGCA
rnacentral:sRNA from 12 species